AGGGCACCACCAGGAGUGGAGCCUGCGGCUUAAUUUGACUCAACACGGGAAAACUCACCCGGCCCGGACACCGCGAGGAUUGACAGAUUGAUAGCUCUUUCAUGAUUCGGUGGAUGGUGGUGCAUGGCCGUUCUUAGUUCGUGGAGCGAUUUGUCUGGUUUAUUCCGAUAACGAGCGAGACUCUAGCCUACUAACUAGUCCGCACCUUCGCCUGCUGGGUGCUCACACACGGACUUCUUAGAGGGAUUCUCGGCGUUUCAGCCGCACGAAACUGAGCAAUAACAGGUCUGUGAUGCCCUUAGAUGUCCGGGGCUGCACGCGCGCUACACUGGCGAAAUCAGCGUGCCUGUCCUCUCGCGAAAGCGACUGGUAAACCGGUGAAAAUUCGCCGUGAUUGGGAUCGGAAAUUGCAAUUAUUUUCCGUGAACGAGGAAUUCCAAGUAAGUGCGAGUCAUCAACUCGCGUUGAUUACGUCCCUGCCCUUUGUACACACCGCCCGUCGCUGCCCGAGACUGAGCC
rnacentral:rRNA from 1 species